CCAAUAGCGUAUAUUAAAGUUGUUGUGGUUAAAAAGCUCGUAGUUGAACCUUGGGCCUGGCUGGCCGGUCCGCCUCACCGCGUGUACUGGUCCGGCCGGGCCUUUCCCUCUGUGGAACCCUAUGCCCUUCACUGGGUGUAGCGGGGAAACAGGACUUUUACUUUGAAAAAAUUAGAGUGCUCCAGGCAGGCCUUUGCUCGAAUACAUUAGCAUGGAAUAAUAAAAUAGGACGUGUGGUUCUAUUUUGUUGGUUUCUAGGACCGCCGUAAUGAUUAAUAGGGACAGUCGGGGGCAUCAGUAUUCAAUUGUCAGAGGUGAAAUUCUUGGAUUUAUUGAAGACUAACUACUGCGAAAGCAUUUGCCAAGGAUGUUUUCAUUAAUCAGGAACGAAAGUUAGGGGAUCGAAGACGAUCAGAUACCGUCGUAGUCUUAACCAUAAACUAUGCCGACUAGGGAUCGGACGAUGUUAAAAAUUGACUCGUUCGGCACCUUACG
rnacentral:rRNA from 1 species